rnacentral:lncRNA from 1 species
CGACAUCUUUAUAAUGGUUUUACCAUUUAGUCAUUUAACAUAUAUUGGAUUAUAAAUAAAUAAACUAAUUUACUUACUACCCUACUUAAAUUUGGUUGAGUGAUAGGUUGUUUUUAGAGCAUCCUCAUCGGUUAACAUCUCCACAUGAGUGUCUAAACACAAAAGUAUUAAUUAGUCUUUUAUCAAAACAUAAUUUGUCUAACCAAAGUUUAAUUUUUACAAAAAUCAAAACCAAUAGAACACAAACACAUGUCAGAAUUGACUGUAGAGAGUAUCUUAAAAGCUCGGUACAGAGAAACUAUAAACCUUGUCUUUUUAUUUUUUUUAUUUUAUUCUUAAGACACCCAAUUGAAAAUUUUUGAUUGGAAGUGCUGUUAGUUUUUUUUUGUUGUCGAUUAUUUGUUCAGCACCUUAAACAAAAUAAUGUAUAAAAUUUGAAAAGAACACUAAGAAAAUUUUAAUUGAUGAGAUACCCUCUCAUCAAUAUUUAUUGAGAUUUUUAACAUAUUUAACCACAAAACUUAUUUAUCGUUACUGAUAAAAUGUAGCCACACAUAUAUUAAGAUAUGUGUGUCCGAAAUAUUCAAAAGAUUCCUAGUCAAAAAUUACCGCAAAUUUUAUUUUAAGGGUUAUUUGUGAAAUAAUCAAAAAAAAAAAUUUAGUUUCGUAGAGAAAGGGUAG